rnacentral:rRNA from 1 species
GACGAACGCUGGCGGCGUGCUUAACACAUGCAAGUCGAACGGUGAAGGGACCGGUUUUUGCUGGUUCUGGAUGAGUGGCGAACGGGUGAGUAACACGUGAGUAACCUGCCCCCCUCUUCUGGAUAACCGCAUGAAAGUGUGGCCAAAACGGGAUAUUCUGCGCCUGCUGCAUGGUGGGUGUGGGAAAGAUAUUGUUUCGGGGGGGGAUGGGCUCGCGGCCUAUCAGCUUGUUGGUGGGGUGAUGGCCUACCAAGGCGGGGACGGGUAGCCGGCCUGAGAGGGUCGACGGUCACACUGGGCCUGAGCCACCGCCCAGACUCCUACGGGAGGCAGCCGCGGGGAAUAUCGCACGAUGGGCGCGAGCCUGUUGCAGCGCCGCCGCGUGAGGGAUGGAGUCCUUCGGGUUGUAAACCUCUUUCGCCAGUGAAGCAGGCCUGUCCCUUGUGUGGGUGGGUUGACGGUAGCUGGAUACGAAGCGCCGGCUAACUACGUG